GACGUAGGGCGCGAGCGUUGUCCGGAUUUAUUGGGCGUAAAGAGCUCGUAGGCGGUUUGUCGCGUCUGGUGUGAAAAUCCAGGGCUUAACCCUGGACCUGCAUCGGGUACGGGCAGACUAGAGUGCGGUAGGGGAGAUCGGAAUUCCUGGUGUAGCGGUGAAAUGCGCAGAUAUCAGGAGGAACACCGGUAGCGAAGGCGGAUCUCUGGGCCGUAACUGACGCUGAGGAGCGAAAGCAUGGGGAGCGAACAGG
rnacentral:rRNA from 1 species